UGAAGAAAUGACAGUCCCUGUCAUCAAAGAACUUAAGACCUAUUGGGAAGAUAUAAUAUAUACACAGAUUGACUCCUUCAUAACAACCUUGUGAGAUAGUUUUCCAAGCAUUGCCAUCUCUGCUUUGGAGAGGAGGAUACUGAGAUUCAGACUGGUUAAUUCAUGUGCAGGGGGCCCAGUAUCUGAAUGGCUGUGUCAAAAAAUUUGUACUCUUCUGCUAUCCAUAGUUCUGAAAGUGAGUACCCAGGAGGAGAGAGUGGUCAGCAGUAUGGGAGCUGAAGGAGGAUGAUGAGGACUGAGAAGAUACCAUCGGGUUUAGUAAUUGUGAGAUCACUGGUAACCUUGAAGAGAUCAGUUUCAGCAGAGCAAUGGAAUCGAGGACUGCGUGAGUAGGAAACCAGCACAAUAUCUACAUACUACAUGUCUGUAUAUCAUGGAACAUCUACAAGAAUUCAUAAAUACUGAAAAUGAAUGGAUAUGUCAAAUUUUGGCAGACCACAUGGACUUAACUCAACUCAGAGCGCCUUCCCUGAUUGUCGCCCAUGGCUGGAAUUUUCUCCAUCCUCAUCUCAGCUUCCUGGCUUUUUUGACUUCCUCCAAGUCUCAGCUAAAGACCACCUUCUGCAAGAAGCCUUUUCUAAUGCCCCUAAAUUCUGCUGCCUUCCUGCUGUUGAUCAUCUCCAAUUUACU